rnacentral:rRNA from 1 species
GUCGAACGGACUGAUUCCUUCGGGAUGAAAGUUAGUGGCGAACGGGUGCGUAAUGUAUGAGCAACCUGCCUCUAUCAACGGGAUAGCAGUUGGAAACGACUGGUAAUACGGUAUAUGACCACAGCACGGCAUCGUGCAGCGGUAAAAGAUUUUAUCGGAUAGAGAUGGGCUCAUAUCCCAUUAGGUAGUUGGUGAGAUAACAGCCCACCAAGCCUACGAUGGGUAGCCGAGCUGAGAGGCUGAUCGGCCACAUUGGGACUGAAACACGGCCCAGACUCCUACGGGAGGCAGCAGUGGGGAAUAUUGGGCAAUGGAGGCAACUCUGACCCAGCAAUGCCGCGUGAGUGAUGAAGGUAAUUUUAUUGUAAAGCUCUUUUCUUUGGAACGAAUAAAUGACGGUACCAAAGGAAUAAGCCCCGGCUAACUACGUGCCAGCAGCCGCGGUAAUACGUAGGGGGCAAGCGUUGUUCGGAAUGACUGGGCGUAAAGGGUGUGUAGGUGGUUUGAUAAGUUAGAUGUGUAAUACCCAGGGCUUAACUCGGGUGCUGCAUCUAAAACUGUUAGACUUGAGUACUGGAGAGGAUAGUGGAAUUCCUAGUGUAGCGGUGGAAUGCGUAGAUAUUAGGAGGAACAUCAGUGGCGAAGGCGACUAUCUGGACAGCAACUGACACUGAGGCACGAAAGCGUGGGGAGCAAACAGGAUUAGAUACCCUGGUAGUCCACGCUGUAAACGAUGGAUACUAGAUGCGGGGGGUAUUCACUCCUUCCGUGUCGUAGCAAACGCACUAAGUAUCCCGCCUGGGG